CACACACACACACACACACACACACACAAGCAGAUGUCUCAAUUAGCUUGUGAACUCUUUAAUUUUCCUCUAGCUAAGCCUCAGUCGCGACAUCUGGGCCAGCUGCCAAACUCACUCACACAAAAUGGUUUCCUUACUAAACACUCUCUGUGGUCGGGAACACAUUCUGUGGUACGCGGUAGCACUCGGCAAGGCAAACAAACACUCACACCAGCCCAACCACUGUGUGUGUGCGUUAGUGUGUGUGUGUGUGUGUGUGUGUGUGUGUGUGUGUGUGUGUGUGUGUGUGUGUGUGUGUGUGUGUGUGUGUGUGUGUGUGUGUGUGUGUGUGUGUGUGUGUGUGUGUGUGUUUAGCAAUACCAAUCAGCAGUGGUGCGCUGCUCUGUUGCCAGAAUGGAAAGAAGGAGAAAGUAGAGAGGGAAAAUAAUAGCUUGUGCAAAGUUUAGAAACAAAACUAUUCCAAUAAAUUGUCCCAAAUCUUUUCCCCCUCCCAGUUUCCUUGUUCUACACUACUUUUAAGGGUGAAAUUAGUCUUUUCCAACCCCCUGACAGCCCAAUAAAACCCUCUGCCAGGUACACAGCUAUACACUACCCUAGAGAGUGGGAGGGAGAGAGGGAAGCAUGAGGGGAACAGAGGGGAAAGAGAAAGAAACAGGGGGGAAGAGGAGAGGGGGGAAACAGUUGGGAAGGGUGCGCCUGGCAACAUAGGAAUAACUUUUACAUCUGCAGCCAAAAUACCCUCUGGACCCUUACACACACACACACACACACACACACACACACACACACACACACACACACACACACACACACACACACACACACACACACACACACACACACACACCUCCCCUCCUCUCUUUUCACCACCUACUAGAGGCUUAAUAAAGUGAAAGCUGUCCUGAAACACAGACAGCAGAACCAAUGAAAACUGUCCUGAAACACAGACAGCAGAACCAAUGAAAACUGUCCUGAAACACAGACAGCUGAACCAAUGAAAACUGUCCUGAAACACAGACAGCUGAACCAAUGAAAACUGUCCUGAAACACAGACAGCAGAACCAAUGAAAACUGUCCUGAAACACAGACAGCAGAACCAAUGAAAACUGUCCUGAAACACAGACAGCUGAACCAAUGAAAACUGUCCUGAAACACAGACAGCAGAACCAAUGAAAACUGUCCUGAAACACAGACAGCAGAACCAAUGAAAACUGUCCUGAAACACAGACAGCAGAACCAAUGAAAACUGUCCUGAAACACAGACAGCUGAACCAAUGAAAACUGUCCUGAAACACAGACAGCAGAACCAAUGAAAACUGUCCUGAAACACAGACAGCAGAACCAAUGAAAACUGUCCUGAAACACAGACAGCAGAACCAAUGAAAACUGUCCUGAAACACAGACAGCAGAACCAAUGAAAACUGUCCUGAAACACAGACAGCUGAACCAAUGAAAACUGUUAUGAAACACAGACAGCUGAACCAAUGAAAACUGUCCUGAAACACAGACAGCAGAACCAAUGUUUUAUUUAUGAAAAGGAAAAAGAGAGGAAAUGGAAAGAGAUAAAUCCAUGUGACUGAGCAGGCAGCCGGGAGAACAAGAUGGCGUCCGGUGGGCCGGCCAUGACCUCACUGGGGUCAGAGUUCACAGUGCAUUCUGAAAGAACAACAGUAGAAAGACAAAACAAGCUGGAGGCUCUACAGAAAAGAGAGAAAGAAGCAGGUCUAAGAGAAGUCUUUCCUGAGAUAUGAGCGGAUGGGGGAUGAGAGAGAGGGAGAGCGAGGGAGGGAGAGGGAGGGAGAGAGAGAGAGAGAGAGAGAGAGAGAGAGAGAGAGAGAGAGAGAGAGAGAGAGAGAGAGAAGUAGUGAGACUGUAUAGUAGAGGCACAGAGAGAAUAGGAUUCCCAGCUGCAGAUCAAAUGUAUUCCCUCAACGUCAACUACAGGGUCUACCAGAGGACAGUUCACACAUGAGUGAGUGAGUGAGUGAGUGAGUGAGUGAGUGAGUGAGUGAGUGAGUGAGUGAGUGAGUGAGUGAGUGAGUGAGUGAGUGAGUGAGUGAAGUGAGUGAGUGAGUACGUAUCCAAGAAAGAGAGUCCUAAAGAGUAAAAAAAAAAGAUGUUCCUUUUUCAGGACCCUGUCUUUCAAAGAUAAUUCGUAAAAAUCCAAAUAACUUCACAGAUCUUCAUUGUAAAGGGUUUAAACACUGUUUCCCCAUGCUUGUUCAAUGAACCAUAAACAAUUAAUGAACAUGUGCCUGCGGAACGGUCGUUAAAACACUAACAGCUUACAGACGGUAGGCAAUUAAGGUCAGUUAUGAAAACUUAGGACACUAAAGAGGCCUUUCUACUGACUCUGAAAAACACCAAAAGAAAGAUGCCCAGGGUCCCUGCUCAUCUGCGUGAAUGUGCCUUAGGCAUGCCGCAAGGAGGCAUGAGGACUGCAGAUGUGUCCAGGGCAAUAAAUUGAAAUGUUCAUACUGUGAGACGCCUAAGACAGUGCUACAGGGAGACAGGACGGACAGCUGAUCGUCCUCGCAGUGGCAGACCACGUAUAACAACACCUGCACAGGAUCGAUACAUCCGAACAUCACACCUGCGGGACAGGUACAGGAUGGCAACAACAACUGCCCGAGUUACACCAGGAACGCACAAUCCCUCCAUCAGUGCUCAGACUGUCUGCAAUAGGCUGAGAGAGGCUGAACUGAGGGCUUGUAGGCCUGUUGUAAGGCAGGUCCUCACCAGACAUCACCGGAAACAACAUCGCCUAUGGGCACAAACCCACUGUCGCUGGACCAGACAGGACUGGCAAAAAGUGCUCUUCACUGACGAAGUCGCGGUUUUGUCUCACCAGGGGUGAUGGUUGGAUUCGCGUUCAUUGUCAAAGGAAUGAGCACAGCAUCAUCGGACUGAGCUUGUUGUCAUUGCAGGCAAUCUCAACACUGUGUUACAGGGAAGACAUCCUCCUACCUCAUGUGGUACCCUUCCUGCAAGCUCAUCCUGACAUGACCCUCCAGCAUAACAAUGCCACCAGCCAUACUGUUCGUUCUGUGUGUGAUUUCCUGCAAGACAGGAAUGUCAGUGUUCUGCCAUGGCCAGCGAAGAGCCUGGAUCUCAAUCCCAUUGAGCAUGUCUGGGACCUGUUGGAUCGGAGGGUGAGGGCUAGGGCCAUUCCCCCCAGAAGUGUCUGGGAACUUGCAGGUGCCUUAGUGGAAUAUCUCAUAGUAAGAACUGGCAGCAAGAACUGGCACAUCUGGUGCAGUCCAUGAGGAUGCACUGCAGUACUUAAUGCAGCUGGUGACCACAUCAGAUACUGACUGUUACUUUUGAUUUCGACCCCCCCUUUGUUCAGGGACACAUUAUUCCAUUUUUGUUAGUCACAUGUCUGUGGAACUUGUUCAGUUUAUGUCUCAGUUGUUGAUCUUGUUAUGUUCAUACAUAUAUUUACACAUGUUAAGUUUGCUGAAAAUAAACACAGUUGACAGUGAGAGGACGUUUGUUUUUUUGCUGAGUUUAUAUUAC
rnacentral:lncRNA from 1 species